UCUACUCAAAGUUUGACCUCGGAUCAGGUAGGGAUACCCGCUGAACUUAAGCAUAUCAAUAAGCCGGAGGAA
rnacentral:rRNA from 1 species